rnacentral:tRNA from 1 species
GGGAAUGUGGCUUAGUGGUAGAGUGCUUGCCUAGCAUGCAUGAAGCCCUGGGUUCAAUUCCUCAGUAGUACUA